ACUACGUGGUGGCGGCGCCUCCGGCGGCGUACUACGCGCCGACUGCGCCACCGCCGCCGCCGGGCUACCCGACCAACUACGACGCGGGCAUGGGUGCCCCGCAGCCAGCGCAGACACGGAGCCGCGGUGACAAGGCCUUCUUGGAAGGAUGCUGUGCAGCCAUCUGCUGCUGUUGCCUCCUCGACAUGUGCUUCUAAGGACACAGAGAGCAGAAGUGUAUGAAAUCGUUUGCUGCAGUUAAUUGUAGUGUUUGCUUAUACAUCCAUGUGUUUUAGUGUGGAGUUGUAAGGGAGAGCCCGGUUGUGCCUAGAGAACUGUGUGAUGAUCAAUACCAGCUACAACUUAUAUUCUUGCUUA